AUUCUCAAGACAUGUACCGCUGACGUUGUCAGCAACAUGCCCGGGUAGUCAGGAUCUCACGACUACGAUGCGUCCCACGCAUUGAUCCCUCCCAAAGUUCGCAAAGCUUCCGGAGGCGCGAACGAUCGGUGUUUCAAACGCCGAUGGAUGC
rnacentral:ncRNA from 2 species